GAUGAACGCUGGCGGCGUGCCUAAUACAUGCAAGUCGAGCGAACAGAUGAGGAGCUUGCUCCUCUGACGUUAGCGGCGGACGGGUGAGUAACACGUGGAUAACCUACCUAUAAGACUGGGAUAACUUCGGGAAACCGGUGCUAAUACCGGAUAAUAUAUUGAACCGCAUGGUUCAAUAGUGAAAGACGGUUUUGCUGUCACUUAUAGAUGGAUCCGCGCCGCAUUAGCUAGUUGGUAAGGUAACGGCUUACCAAGGCAACGAUGCUUAGCCGACCUGAGAGGGGGACAGGCAAAACGGGAACGGGGACACGGCCCAGACUCCAACGGGAGGCAGCAGUAGGGAAUUUUCAGCAAGGGGGGAAAGCCUAACGGAGCAACGCGGCGUGAGUGAGGAAGGUCUUGGGAUCGUAAAACUCUGUUAUUAGGAAAAAAAAAAUGAGGAAGUAACGAUGCACGUCUGGAGGGUACCUAAUCAGAAAGCCACGGCUAACUAGGU
rnacentral:rRNA from 1 species